ACCUCUCUAAAUCGCCAAAACCCAAAAACAAACAAACCCUCCACAAUUUCACUCUCUCUAUCUCUCUCCCUCUGAAAUCUACUUGUUUUACAUGUAAAACGAUCGAAAAUUUUCUCAGCUUUGUCUACGCUCCAUGUGUGAAGAGGUAAGAAAAUUCUUAUCGAAGAUAGAAGAAGGCAGGAACCUUAAAGCAUGGAAGUAUGGCAAGAAGAAUCCACAAUAAAAAAUUAAAGGGGGAAACAGCAAAAUUAAGAGAAGAAGAUCUAGAGAUAACUCCUCAAGAAAGACAGAGGUAUGAGAUCCAUAAUUGACUAUAAACCAAGCAAAUAUCAGAGGAAGAUCAUCUUGAGCUUAUUCGUGGGGAUCUCCAUACAUCUCCAUACCUUCAGAAGCUAUGGGUUUGUUUGGGUUAGUACAAAUUGGGGUGGACUAGUCAGCAAAGCAUGUCGUUGCAAACCCAGG